AGCGAACGCUGGCGGCAGGCCUAACACAUGCAAGUCGAACGGGCAUAGCAAUAUGUCAGUGGCAGACGGGUGGGGAACGCGUGGCAACGUACCUUUUGGUUCGGAACAACACAGGGAAACUUGUGCUCAUACCGGAUAAGCCCUUACUAGGACAGAUUGCUUGCGGAAAAAUGGGCCGGAGUUUGAUUACCUAGGUGGUAGGAUGAUCGGAUAUCAAGGCGACGAUCAGUAGAUGGUCAGAGAGGAUGAUCAGACACAUUGGGACUGAGACACGGCCCAAACUACUGCGGGAGGCAGGAGUGGGGAAUAUAGGACAAUGGGCGAAAGCCUGAUGCAGCCAGGGCGCGUGAGUGAUGAAGUUCGGAGGGUUGUAAAGCUCGUUUGUGCGGGAAGAUUAUGACGGUACCGAAAGAAUAAGCCCCGGCUAACUUCGUG
rnacentral:rRNA from 1 species